rnacentral:misc_RNA from 1 species
GUUUCCUUGCACUUGAGAAAAAAUUUGACCCAAUUUGAGUCUGCAAGUAACCAUUUAAUGGAAUGGAAUGUUUCAUUAUAAAAUAAUUUCUCAAUUUUUUUGCUCUAUAUCUUCUAUCCUUCCCAAUAUUUCGCUCAUUUUUGGCCGUGUCUCUGGUGUCACAUCUGUACACUGGAGAGCCAUCUCUGUAAGCUUCAACAUCUCAUCAUGGCCUUCUCUUGCUGGCAAUAUCUCUACGUCUAAUAUAUCAGCAGACCAAUCAUUGUUAACAACCGUCCGAACCCAGUCAGAAAGAUCCUCAACUAUUUCAUCAUCUCUGGGCGAAACCUCGCCCGGUAUCCUCCCAGUAAUGACCUCUAGUAGGAUAAUGCCAAAGCAGUAUACAUCCGUUUUGUGUGUCAGCUUCUUCCUUUGGGAGAACUCUGGUGACCUGCUAAUUGCCAGACUCUCAGACAAUUUCCGAGAAGGUAGCAGCGGCAAGAAGCCAUAGUCUGUGAGCUUGGAGCGGUAGCUUUGGCCAUCUUGAUGGAUUAGUACAUUAGAUGAUUUGAGGUUAGCAUGGGGCACCUUGUGAGAAGGUAAGGAUCGGUGGAGGAAUGCCAGGCCCUUUGCUAUAUCCUUGAUUAUGGACAAUCUUGCAGCCCAAUUCAAAGGAACUCUUCCAACCCCUCUAUUCCCAUGCAAUAGCUCAAACAGAUUGCCAGUAGGUACAAAUUCAUAGAUAAUCAGCUUUUCCUCUUUGGAGUGGUAAAAAGAAAUAAUCUGCACCAGGUUUUCGUGCUUCAGCUUUCCCAGAAGCUGCACCUGCUGGAUAAAUUCAUUCUUGCUCAAGCCGUUCAUGUUUUUAACUCUCUUAACGGCAACAACAUCACCCGAUUCCAAGUUUGCUUUGUAGGUAGUACCAUGUUUCCCCUUGCCUAACACUUCAGCAGAUGCCCUUAGCAAAUCAUCCAAGUCAAACACGGCUAUGUUUCUUUCAAAAAAUUCCAGCUCCACCUUUCUUUCAGGAUCCUUUGUGCUUUGGGAAUGUGUCAAUUUCUUUUCUGUCCAUCCUGCAGGGCCACCCCCUGCUUGUGGUUCUUUUGCUGUUUCUUUUCUUUGCACCCUCUUGUAACAACACAGGACAAGCAGCAAAAUCACUAAUGGAACUAGGGCAGCCAGUGCCGCAAUUAAAACAACAAUCCAAAUUUCAAGUUUCUUUUUCUUGUCCUUCCCUGGUCUCAUAGGAGAAGGAGGAGGUGGUGAUGGAGCUGGAGAUGGAACUGGGCACGGCUCUAAUGGAAAACCACAAAGAUCCAAGUUAUGACCGUAGGAGCUCUCUGGGAACCUUCGAAGAGUCUCUGUUGGGGGAAUUGAGCCUUGAAAAUAAUUGUAAGAAACAUUGAAAUCUGUCAAUGUUUUCUGAUCAAAAGGCGGAAUUUGACCCUCUAAAUAGUUCUGCUGAAACUCUAAACGUUCCAGAUUUGGCAAUUCAAUGUACUCAGAAGGAAUUGAACCAAUAAAUCGGUUGAAUGAAAGGAGCACAGAUUCCAAGUGAACAAGAUUGGUGAGAUUAGGAAGUGGUCCAGAGACUGAAUUGUUUCUGAAGCUGAGUUUAGUCAAUAAAGAAAUGUUAUAUAGGAAUGCAGGUGGGAGAGGACCUGAAAGCUGGAUUCCUUCAAGGACAAUGUGAAUUACAUGCCAAUUAGAACAAACAAUACCAGCCCAUCUGCUAAAAUUUG